CGGACCGAUUACUGUCAAAGUAAAGCUUGUCAGUUGAAAACCGUCAAAAUUUUGUUGGAUUUCCCUUCGAUUUUCCGGACCCUUUCCACACUGCUAUAAAAACAGUAUAGACAUGACAGAAAUCCAACGCUGUCAGAUCGAAUCAGUUCGGUUUUGUUCCGAUUUCCGUCAGAUUGUCUUGGCCGAAACGAUCAGAUUUGUUUUCUUUUUUUAUUUUUAUUUUACUGGCCCCAGCCACAGCAAAGAAAAAAUAUGUUUUACUUUUUUUCGAUUUGUCCGGCAGAAAGUGAGCGAGCGCGAGUUAUUUGCAAAGUUCUGCCGUGGGGACCGGAUAUACCUGCUACCUGCGAGAUAACUUGCUAAGUGCUAACAACGACCGAUAAUUUGCCACAAAAACUACCGAGGAGCAACAACUUCCGUCUCAGCUCCAUGGAAAAACACGGUGCACGGUGUCAAGUACAUUAUCGAGUCAUUUUUGGCAGCAUCCGGAACGUGGUCCUGCGCUCGGGGAAGGCGGCCUCGGAUUUGUUUCCCAUCACCCCUCUGAUAGAAACCAAGCUCGGAAACGUCAAGGAGGGUUGCCGCAACAAGUGCCACUCCCACUGUAUCUGUUCUGCAUCGGGUCUCCGUGCAUCAGUCACUAUUACGGCUUCUCCUGUGACUGCCUCGGGACCAAGUAUGAGGGCUGUGAUAUUUAUUGAUAUAGAAACCAUCGAUAGAUCCGAACAGAAGUCAACAACCCAAUAAUACGGACGAAGAUCAGCUGUUUCUCAAAUGAAACAUCAAAACAUCAUCACCUGGCAGAUGGCAGAGGUUAUCGAUCAAAGUUAAAACCUCUGUACGGCUGGCAGGAAGCCGUGAUUCGGGCUCCAAAGGGCAGAAGGCGGAACCAAGGUUUCAGCAAGAUAACGGAUGCUUACGAACAGCAGAAGUUGGCCAUCUAAGCAGCACUCACUGGAGAUAUGACCGGGAAUACGAUAGUUUUCGAUGAUGGUGAGGAAGACGAUGGUUAAUCUGGAAAGCCUAAACGAAUCAAUUCGAAAGCCAAAAUCGAUGAACUCAUAAAUGCUCAGCAAACUUAAUGGCAUGGAUGCUGCACUGAAAGGUUUACAUCUUCCUGUAGUUUCCGUAGAUCAACAAAUCCGUGUGGUGUCUAACGUUCGUUGAACCAACAUCUAGUGAAGCAGUUCCCGGAAGUUCUUUCGCUUGCUUCGUAGCAGCAGUUGGUGCCUGAAGAUAGUCUUGUCGGCAUCGCUGAACAUAUAUCUGAUGACGCUGUUCCCGGAAUUAUUUUUGAUGCAUAAUCGGGAGAAGAAAAAAAUCAUCAUUCAAGCCAGGGCCCGGAGGAAAUUGUCGAAAGCACUGAAGAACGAUCGGUUGCUAAUUUCGAAAGACGGCGUUCUAAAGAUGGUGUGAAUUUAUUGAAACUGUUCCAUGAGAAAAGUGAUUUUCUUCGUAUCAGCAAUGACUUCACCCUGUCGGCAGGGAUUUCUACCGGAAACAGAAUCGAAGUCCGAAGACUAAAUUUUACUCAAUUGUUCAACAGAAAAAGUCAUCGGUUUUCAACAACAAAUACAAAUUUUCCUAUAUAAUCGGGCAUUGUAUUAAUGAAAGUAUUCCGGCCUUUCAAAUUAACAAAUAUAUACCUAUAGACAUUUUCGCACAAGAUGACGAUAGCUACCUGUUGUAUUACGACGACCAGAAGUCGCUUGUUGUAAACUUGAUGGAACUUUUACAGGCGCGAACCGAUGUAAGUUGAUGCACUGAUGCACCACAAGUAAUGGAAAAAAGAUCGAUUACGAAAACAAGAUUCAAAUAUUUUUUUAAAUCCUACACGGACGGUCUGGUUGCCAAUUGAUUGCUGGACAAGAUCGUCGAUCUCCUAGAAGGGAACACUAAGGAGCUAGAAGUUGGAACUAAGAAUCGAGCCCUGGGACCACCGAAACACCAUCGGCCAGUCCUGGGCCUGUUCGAGGAAAUUCGGCUGAUAUGGCUUACAGUUUGUUCAAUUGGGCCGCUCAAAGUGUACUGCCCCGAGACCUGGCAUAUUAAUCAUCAAUCCUGCAAUCGAUUAUCAACGGAAGCCAAAUCACAAGGGUAAGUUCCUGCCGGACGUGUCUUCAAUUUUAUCGAGGAGCCGACAUGCAAGAGAGCAAUCCAUUUAUAUUACAGCUGGAGGAAAGUUGUCCAGGCACAGAUGCUUCAAGCUAAUGUUCAUUGCUGCGGAAUAUGUUUCCUCCUACGUUUGUAUGGAGUGUACGGCCAAAAUCGAGGUCUUGAAGUCUAUUGAACAGUUCUAUAGUAAUUCCAACAAAUCAUUGCAAUCCUUAAAAGGAAUGUUGAAAAAUGUGAAGAAACCGGAGUGGGUUUGGAAAAAUGGUUUCUGAAAGCCAUUGCUCGCCUGUCAAACGCCCAGCUGUCUCUUUUGGGCCUGAACCAGAUCAAGGAUUUUCCAGAAGCAGAAGAAAAAGGAAGAGAGAGGAUGAACCCUCGGAUUCAAAAUGUUUCAUUUAAAGCAUUCGUUUCAAUAAUUCGAUUCAACUUCGGAACCACUUGAACGACAAACAUCUCAGCCACAUCUAUAAAUGCCCGUCUUGUAAGCAGAGUUUUCCCCAAACCAAAAUAAUGGAUUGCAAUAUUCAUUUGAGCACACAUGUCGAGAGAAAUAAUCCCAGCCGGAACGAAAAGAAUUGUACGUACGUAACCUCUAUUACAGAUUGCUGCCAAGGAGGAACAUCGUCGUAAAGAACAAGUGGAGUACCAUCAUCGGCAGGAAAAAUUCGCUGCAGCAAUCCGACCUCAGGAUCAUCGCAGUGCCAAACCGAUGAACGGGAUGAACCACGUCGAUACGCUCAACAUACUGAACAAGGUUUAUGCCAUCCACAUCCACAUCCUGCUCGAUAGCCCCCUGGCCAAUGAAACCUAUGAGCUGGUCGAAAUAUUGCAUAUCGCCGUUGAAGGUGAACGGGAUGCAGAUGAGCCAAAUCGACAUCUUUGCCAUCGGUCGGUGCCAUGAGCAGGACACGAGAGAUUCUGGGAGCGUCCAGUGCAUCCCAAUUGCCCCUACCGACGGACGAUCUGCUGAGGCUCUUGGGUCGCUGGAGAUCUAAACAAAGCCAGCGUCAGUGGCAAAACCAGCAGCAGCUGAUUUCGGCGGCCGGCAGCGGACACUGUUAGUGGUUCUGGGUCAGCAGCAAUCAGGUCUUCAAAAGGAUUACCACCAGCAGCAUAAUCGAAAUUACAAAAAUUUCGCUAACAUAUCCGGCAAUUGAAGUGCUCACAUAAAAAAGUACGAUUAUUAUAUCUUAUAAAUGUAUACAAAAUUUUUUGUUUUCAAAAUAAAGAAACAGAGUGACAGUAAAAUGGCUGAAUUGAAAUUCAUGAUGACGCAAUGAUGAAAUAAAUAAAAACAAAUUCCUACAUGACGGCAAUUCGUUCGAAAUCGUACCAAUUUUUGUCUGGUUUUUGGCUGAAAACGAACCGAUUUUGUCCGAAAUCGGGCCAAUUUGGUUCGAAGUCGAACUCAUUUCCAUCCGAAAUCGGUCGGGAUUGGAUCAGAAAUCAUUUCAUACUGAUUGUUUUGACAGCUCACUCGCAAAAACUUAUCGUCGUC